GAAGUCAGCCAGACAAUCGCUGCCCGAGCAAUCGGGGGGAGGAAAGUCCGGGCUCCACAGAGCAGGGUGACGGCUAACAGCCGUACGUCGCAAGGCGAGGAAUAGGGCCACAGAGACGAGCGUAUUCAGUUACGGUGAAACGCGGUAACCUCCACCCGGAGCAAUGCCAAAUAGGCGGACGAUGAAGUUGCUCGCCGAGUCCGCGGGUAGGCAGCUUGAGCCUUGGAGCAAUGCAAGGCCUAGAGGAAUGAUUGUCCACGACAGAACCCGGCUUACCGGCUGACUUCUCCU
rnacentral:RNase_P_RNA from 1 species